UUGCUCUUGUAUCCACUUUUGAGAUAGAGAUAAUUCCACAUAGAGUUUUCAGGCUUUCGAUUUCUUCCAUAAUCCACCAGAUUUCUGUUAAGUCUUCGUCUUCAUCAUGCAAAACCUUACCAAGCUCCUCUGAAUCGGUUUCCACUCGAAUUGGAAGAGAUGGCGCACGCGACAGCAUAUGACGAAGGCCUUCCAGCACUGCUUGUGCCUCCAUUCUCUUCACACCAUGGCACGACUCUACCAUUUUGCUGCCUGCAGCAACGACUUCGCUCUUCCAAUUUCUCAGCACCCAUCCCAAUCCUCCCUGUUGGUGUGACUCUGACUGAGAAGUAUAUGUAUUAAGCGUCCAUGCAUGUAUUGGGGGAGUAACCCAUUUCAGUGUAGUUUGGUCUCACACGUCAAUCAAAGACGUCUCAAGUGUUGGUGACAUAUUUAGUUGCAAGGGAAGCACACAUGUUGGAUCUAUAUCUCGAUUCUUAGACUUGCUCUCAAAGAACUCUUCAAUCUUCAAAGACGUCUCAAGAUGUUGGUUAUAUAUUCAAGUUGCAAGAGAAGCACUUGCUGGAUCUAUAUCGCGGUUCCUAUGCUUGUGAUAUUACAAUUUCACUUUGUAACGAAGUUAAUAAAAGUAUUGUUCAAUCAAUUAUCAAGGCGAGAAUUUAUUUAAA